UACGGGGGGUGCAAGCGUUAUUCGGAUUCACUGGGCUUAAAGGGUGCGUAGGUGGGUCUGCAAGUCAGUUGUGAAAUCUCCCGGCUUAACCGGGAAACUGCCAUUGAUACUAUUGGUCUUGAAUUCAGUUGAGGUGGGCGGAAUGUGUCGUGUAGCGGUGAAAUGCUUAGAUAUGACACAGAACACCAAUUGCGAAGGCAGCUCGCUAAACUGACAUUGACGCUGAGGCACGAAAGCGUGGGGAUCAAACAGG
rnacentral:rRNA from 1 species